rnacentral:rRNA from 1 species
GACGAACGCUGGCAGCGUGCUUAACACAUGCAAGUCGAACGGAAAGGCCCUGCUUUUGUGGGGUGCUCGAGUGACGAACGGGUGAGUAACACGUGAGUAACCUGCCCUUGACUUUGGGAUAACUUCAGGAAACUGGGGCUAAUACCGGAUAGGAGCUCCUGCUGCAUGGUGGGGGUUGGAAAGUUUCGGCGGUUGGGGAUGGACUCGCGGCUUAUCAGCUUGUUGGUGGGGUAGUGGCUUACCAAGGCUUUGACGGGUAGCCGGCCUGAGAGGGUGACCGGCCACAUUGGGACUGAGAUACGGCCCAGACUCCUACGGGAGGCAGCAGUGGGGAAUAUUGCACAAUGGGCGGAAGCCUGAUGCAGCAACGCCGCGUGCGGGAUGACGGCCUUCGGGUUGUAAACCGCUUUCGCCUGUGACGAAGCGUGAGUGACGGUAAUGGGUAAAGAAGCACCGGCUAACUACGUG